GUUCCGUUACCUCCUGUCCCUC
rnacentral:miRNA from 1 species